CCGGGGACAAUCACCGGAAGUGAUUUUGAACCGGCGCGGGAACAAGUUCCGGAAACAAUCACUGUAUAUGCUUCCGAACCGAGAAGAAGUGCGCAUCGAGCAUAAAGGGGCGGGAAAGCGGCAGCGAUUUUCUCAAGAGGAAUUUUGCACGCGCGUCACCGGAAGCCGUGACCUGGGCGAGGUGUGGCUUGAAGAGCCAUUCGAUAGCAGGAACUGCGCGUGCGCGCCCCCUUCGGACGUGGUGUAGGUGUGGGUGGGGCGUCAGCUGCAAUAGUGUCCCGGAAGCCGCACCCUCUCCAUGAAGUUCUCCGUGUGUCACCGGAGACCUGGGAAUGCUGUCCUUCCCGUCCUGACCCCGGUGAUGUUGCAGCUGACCCCAGUGACGUCGCUGCUGAAGGACAAGUGCGAGGUGCUGACGCCCGCCUCCCCGCGGAGGAGGGACAUCCUUGUGCUCACUGUGUGCUUCAGUAUCACUGCGGAUGAGGGGCUUUGGUAACUGUGGCUUUCUUCCCGAGUCAUGGGCCUGGCUCACUUCGCGGUGGAGUUAGGUGGUGGCAGGAGUGACCAGAGGGAGGGAGACUGAUGGUGAUGUCACUGUGACUGCCCCUUCUAGUCACCGCCCACAGUGCCUGGGCUGAAGUUAUGGUGAUUGUCAUCCCUGACCGCAGGGCCUGUUGUCCUGUUGGAGUUGGAGGAGUCCAGGGUGAUGCCAUCCCCCUGCCCAGGCCCCUCUGCCCUGGAGAUGGUGACUGGGAAGGCCCUGAAAAUGGCCAAACUUAUAUUCCAGCCUGUAGAAUGGGACAAUGGGCCGAAGAUCUGUCUUCUGGAAUUUCUUCAUGCUGAUGAUUGGACUGUUUAUCUCUCAGUUUGAAAGAGGCUGAAAUGCUGGUCAUAAGUUGGGUGCAUAUGUAUUGGGGAUGCUCCCAGCUGAGCCGUGACACAAUCUGUGAGAGAUGGCUUUCACCUGGCACUCUAAUACAUGUCUAUAGCACCUGAUGGCACAAGCUGUGGCCUGUGAACAAGAUGAACAAAGAGUUUUGGUGGUGAAUAUCUUCUCUCCUGAGAAUCUGGACUGUGGACUAAGAAACUCAAGGCCUCAGAGGAGAACUGACAUCUGCAAGCUGUGAAGCCAUUUCUUGGCCCUUGUUGAUACAGGUACUUUUCUCUUUUCUGGAAGCUUCACAUUUUAUUUGCAACAGUUUCUAAAAGCUUGGAAAUACCAUAGCUAUGGUUCUGCCAUUCCCACUAGUGGAGUGUCUCAGUCCAGUAGGAAUGAUAACCCCAAGGCCAUUGCCCUGACUCAUACUGGGAGACCCAAUUGUGGCCUGAAGUACCAAAGAUAGGCACAAUCCAGGUGGGGUUGUUGUCUGGAUACCUGGUGGCCUGCAACUACCUGGGUGUUUUGAUAAGCAGAGAGCCCAGGGUCUGUACCCUUGUAAAGAGUAGGUUGGCAGUCUUGGUGAAAUACUACCGUGAAACAGGAAUCAGCAUGUUGCUGAUUCCCCUAAUACUUUGUUUUGCUUGACUUGUCUUGAGAACAGUAGAGUCUGCGUCCUCUGGAACGGGGCAAAGAAUUCCUUCAGUCUUAGAAGUCCAGGGGGAGCUAAGGUCCUAACGAUCAUUUGGCCUAGUAGACAUAGGAGACAGUUUCCCAGUUCAUUUGGCCGCCAUGUCUAGAGGGGCUGGAAAACUACCUGCCCAGCAGUUUACAAACACAUGGGGCUCAGGCAUAUGGGGAACUUUCCUGGCCUUCCUGUCUGUCUUUCUAGCAGAAAACAGAGGGUGUCCACAAUCGUAUACACAAACGUCCAACAGGGACACUAGCUGCUUUCUGGGUUCCCUACUCCCAACAAGGCUGAAUUCUUAAAGCUACUACCUAACCUGGAUAUUCUGGCCUCCUCUCAUGGGAUUGGGAGUACACAGACCUUUUACCCAAUGUUUUUUGUUUGUUUCGGUUUGUUUCUUUGUUUUGUGAUACAGGAUUUCACUGUGUAUCCUUGGCUAUCCUAGAACUCACUGGGUAGGGCUGGCCUCAAACUCACAGAGAUCUGCCUGCCUCUGCUUCCCAAGGGCUGGGAUUAAAAGUGUGCUUCACCACCACUUGUUUCAAAGGUUAUUUUUAAUACUGUUUCUUUCAAUUCUUGAGAUUAUGAUGUAAUUACAUUGUUUUUUCCUUCUCUUUUCCCCUCCAAACCCUUCCAUAUAGCACUACUUUCUCUCUUUACUGAUCAGUUCUCACCAACAUGAUAGUUUAACCAUGAGGUGAACAAGGACAACAAUAUACAUAGCAAAGUGGACAGAGGAAGUCCAUGAGGGCUCAACUCUACAGAAAAUUCUACUGGUAAUGAUGGAAUGCUGUGAAUAGGAGUAAUAUUUUCUCCAGGGAAGAACACAGAGAUUGGUUAUCCAAUAUUAUUCUUUCUUUUUCCUUUUUCUUUCUUUUUUGAGGUUACAAUAUAAUGACAACCUUUUUUUUUUUUUCUUUAUCCAGUAUAAGAUGAAAUAAAUACUCUCCUAACUAGGUUUGAAGCCAUUUGGGGGGGUGUCUAAUACCCAGUUAAGUAGAUGCUUGUCUCCCCCAUGGAAGCUGUUUUAUGCUCUGUGGUCUCUAGAAGUUUGGGUGUAGUGUCGAUCUACAGUAUUUGCACACCCUGCGCAGGCCUGGCUGUUCUGUGCAUCAGCCUGCAUCCUAGGAAUCAAGAUGACAGCUGAGGAUACUGCACCAAUGCCCAAGUCAAAAGGUUUCCACUGCACAAUGAGAAGACCUGAGUUUAAUCCCUGGGGUCAAGUGUCCAUUGUUUUUGUACCUGAGGCUUUUGAUAUCUAUUCCAGAAAGAGAUGGUUGGGGUUUUGUUUUGUUUUGUUUGUUGUUGUUGUUUUAGUAUACUUAAAGAACAUGGUUCCUAUCCCUUGUGGGAACAUCUUUCUCACUAGUGGGAUGUCACAGUCGAGUGGAAAUGGUGUCCACAUGGAAUAUUUGUCUCCAAGGCUGAGUCAUAUGAUUCAUUUUGAGAGGCCCAGAUCUAGCCAAAAGUGGCCAAGAUACUGGAAUACCCAACAGUGAGUCUGGUGGCAGGUAAUCUGUUGGGGUGUUUUGCUCUGUAGAAGGACCAGAUAGAAUGUGGCAAUGCAUUACUAUGAACAUGACUCUUACAUUCCCAGUUAUCCAAGUUCUAUGGCCUUAGUGUUGACUCAGCAGCAGAAGAGUAUGUUUCUAAAAUAGAAGACUCUGCAUUCUGUGGAAGAAGCACCAUGCUACCCAACUCCAUCCCUAACCCUAAACCAGUUGCUGAGCAUCCUAACUUCUUAGCAGAGGUUGUGAAUGAAUGCUGCUGCCCCAAGGUGGCCCCUGGUUUGAAGGACAUGCUGCAGCAUCCCCCUGAACUGAGAUUAUUGAGGGUACCUGGAGACUCUGGCCUAGGAACAUGGAAAGAAGAAACAAAGUUUAAUAUGGUGGAUCACAUUGAUGGAUUUCCGUAUAUUGAACCACCCCUGCAUACCUGGGAUGAAGCCUACUGGGUCAUAGUGGAUGGUAUCUUUGAUGUGUUCCUGUAUUCGGUUUGCAAGUAUUUUGUUGAGUAUUUUUACAUCAAUGUUCAUAAGAGAGACUGACCUGAAAUUCUCUUUCUUUGUUGGGUCUUUGUGAGGUUUAAGUACCUAGGUGACUGUGGCUUCAUAGAAUGAAUUUGGUAGUUUGAAGAGAAUUGAUUGGUGUUAGCUCUUCUUUGAAGGUCUCAUAGAAUUCUGGGCUGAAGCCCUCUGGUCCUGGGCUUUUUUUGCAUGGGAGACUUUUGAUGACUGCUUGUAUUUCCUUAGGGGAUAUAGGACUAUUUAACUGAUUUACCUGGUCUUGAUUCAGCUUUGGUAAGUGGAAUCCAUCCAGAAAAUUGUCCAUUUCAUUUAGAUUUUCAAACUUUGUGGCAUAUAGACUUUUGAAGUAAGUCCUAAUGAUUGUUUGGAUUUCCUCAGUGUCUGUUGUUAUGUCCCCCUUUUCAUUUCUGAUUUUGUUGAUUUGGACAGUUUCUCUCUGCCUUUUAGUAGCAUGGCUAAGGGUUUGUCUAUCUUGUUGAUUUUCUCAAAGAACCAGCUUUUGGUUUCAUUGAUUCUUUGAAUAGUUUUGUUAGUUUCUAAUUGAUUGAUUUCAGGCCUGAGUUUGAUUAUUUCCAGCCGUCUACUCUUCUUUGGUGUGUCUGCUUCUUUUUUUUUCCUAGGGCUUUUAGGUGAGCCAUUAAGUUGCAUGCAUGAGAUGUUUCAAAUUUCUUCUUGAAGGCACUUAGUGCUAUGAACUUUCCUCUUAGCACUUCUUUCAUUGUGUCCCAUAAGUUUGGUUAUGUUGUGCCUUCAUUUUCAUUGAAUUCUAGGAAGACAUUAAUUUCUUUCUUUAUUUCUUCACUGACCCAGCUGUCAUUGAGUAGCAAUUUGUUCAGUUUCCAUGUGUGUAUAGGCUUUUUGCUAUUUCUGUUGUCAUUGAGAUACAGCUUAAUUCAUGGUGUUCAUUUGUGCCUUGUUUUGUGACCAACUUUAUGGUCUAUUUUGGAGAAGAUUCCAUGAGGUGCUGAGAAGAAGGUAAAUUCUUUUGUGUUUGGGUGAAGGGUUCUGUAGAGGUCUGUUAGGUCCAUUUGAUUCAUGACAUCUCUUAGAGUUGUUGUUUCUUUGCUUAAUUUCUGGUUUGUUGACCUGUCCUUUGGUGAUAGUGAGGUGUUGAAGUCUCCCACUAUUAAUGUGUGGGAAUCUAUGUGUGGUUUCAGUUUUAUUAACGUUUCUUUGACAAAUGUGGGUGCUCUUGUAUUUGGGGCAUAGAUGUUCAGAAUUGUGGUGUCUUCUUGGUGGAGUUUUACUUUGAUCAGUAUGAAAUGAGCUUCCCCAUCUCUUUUGAUUAAUUUUGCUUGAAAUCCAAUUUUAUUAGAUAUUAGAAUGGCUGCUCCUGUUUGCUUCUUUGGUCCAUUUGCUUGGAAAACUGUCUCCCAGCCCUUUACUCUCAGGUAAUGUCUAUCUUUGUGACUUAGGUGUGUUUCUUGUGUGCAACAGAUUGUUGAGUCUUGUUUAUGUAUCCAUUCUGAUAGUCUGUGUCUUUUUAUUGGAGAGUUGAGUCCACUGAUGUUAAGGGAGAUUAAUGACCAGUGGCCUUUAGAUGCUUUGAUUUUGCUGUUGGCUAUGGUAGUGUGUUUGUGUGCUUGGCUACUUUUGGUUUUGCUGCAGUGAGGUUAUUUGUUUCCUGAAUGUAGUUAGUGUUCCUGGGUUCUAUUUUCCUUCUAGUAUCUUCUGUAAUGCUGGAUUUGUGGUAGGUAUUGUUUGAAUUUGUUUUUGUCACUGAAUAUCUUGUUUUCUCCAUGUAUGAAGACUGAGAGUUUUGCUGGAUAUAUUAGCCUGGACUGAUGUCUGUGUUUUCUUAAUGUCUGCAUUAUAUCCUAUAUCCGUCUAGUCCCUUCUUCCUUUCCUAGUCUCUGUUGAGGUGUGAUUCUGAUGGGCCCUUUUCUCUCUUGCAGCUUUUAGUUUUUUUUUCUUUGUUUUGUAUACUUACUGUUUUAAUUAUUAUGUGGAAGGAGAAUUUUCUUUUUUGGUCCUAUUUACUGGGUGUUCUGUAGGCCUCUUGUAUUCUUAUAGGCCUCUCCUUUAAGUUGGGGAAAUUUUCUUCUAUGAUUUGUUGGAGAUAUUUUCUGGGCCUUGGAGGAAGGAGUCUUCUUUUUCCUCUAUUCUUAUUAUUGUUAGGUUUUGUCUUUUCAUAUUGUCUUGAAUUACUUGCAUGCUCUGUGUCAGGAAUUUUUUGGAUUUAACAUUUUCUUCGACAGAUACAUAAAUAUCUUCCAUUGUAUCUUCUAUGCCUGAGAUUCUUUCUUUCAUCUCUUGUAGUUUGUUGGUUAUGCUUACCUCUGUAGGUCCUGUUUUCUUCCUUAAAGUCUUCCUCUCCAUGAUGUCCUCCAUUUGUGUUUUCUUUAAUUUUCCCAAGUCUAUCUUCAGCCAUUUUGUUUAUUUCCUUCACCUGUCUGAAUGUAUUUUCCUGUUUUUCUUUUAGUUCCUUCAACUGUUUGUUUGAACAUUCCUCUUUGUUUUUUUAAUUUUUCUCAGUGAUUUAAUUAUUUCUCCUCUGAAGACCACAAACUGUUUGGCUGCAUCUUCCCAUAUUUCUUUAUGGAUAGCCAUAAUCUGUUUGAUUUUAUCUUCCUCUAAUUCUUUACAUAUUUUUUUUUUUGUUUCCUCAAUUAUCCUCUUCAUCAGCAUAGAUGUAAGGUCAUCUUCUUGAAUUUCAAUCAUGCUGGGUGUCCAGGGCUGCUCGCCCCUGGGUGGCAGGGUUCUGGAGAUGCCAUAUUGCUUUGGUUUUUGUUGGUUGAGCUUUUACCCUCAUCUCUACCCAUUAGGCUGUUUUAUGUGUUGGCUGUUAGUUUCUGGUGCUUCCUGGAAUCCUGGGGUAGGGAAAAUCCCCUUGGCAGGAAGAUGAUUUUUCCUGAAGGAGGCCUCCUCAGCUUUUUGGGUAUGCUCACUGUAUGGCCAGUGUUUCUCAGGAAUUGCCACUACUCACCUCAUGUGUAUAGACCUGAGUAGUGGCUGUGGUCUUUGUUAGUCAGGGGGGCUCUCCUCUCACCAAUAGAAGUCCUGGAGACAGCUGCCCUGCUGCUGGGUUUCUCAUUCUGAAUUUAUUGAGCUGCUGCUAUUGUUACACAGUUUUCCAGGUACAGUCCUCUUGAAGAACCUGCUGAUUCCCUAGCUGUAGGGUUUUCUCCCAACAGGGAAAUUCAUUCUGGUGCCCUGGGGCACUCAGUUCUGUCUGGGAAGGUGAGUCGAUCGUACAGCAAGUCUGUGGGCCAGAGGGUGAGUAGGUUCUGUUCUGGGCAGGAGACUGUGCACCCUGGUCUAGGAUGGUGGCUGGGGGUGCUGCUCUGGGCCCGAGGCUAUGCACUCCUCUCUAGGCUGGCAACUGAGGGCUCCACCCUGGUCUGAAGGCCUGGCACCUCACUCUGGGCUGGAAGCUGUGUAUGCUGGUCUGGGAUGGCGGCUGAGGUCGCAGCUCUGGUCCGGAGGCUCUGAGCUCCUAUCUGGGCUGGCAGCUGUGUGUCCCCUUCUGGGCCAGAGGCUGUGCACACCUCUCUGGACCAGCACCUAAGGGCUCCCCUCUGGGUCAGAGGCUUGGCGCCUCACUCUGGGCUAGAGGCUGUGCCCCGCGGUCUGAGAUGAUGGUUGUGGUCGCCUCUCUAGGCCCAAGGCUGUGCACCCCUAUCUGGGCUGGCAGCUGUGCAUCCAGCUUUGGGCCAGAGGCUGUGCACUCCUCUCUGAGCCAGAAACUGAGGUCUCUGCCCUGGUCUGGAGGCUCUACACCUCACUCUGGGCUGGAAGCUGUGUGUCCCGGUCCGGGAUGGCGGCUGGGGGUGCCGUGGGAGGCAGUGUUCUCCCAUCUGGGCAGCAGGUGUGUCCGCUGGUACCCAGAACCUUUUCCAGGGAUUUACUGGGUGACCUGAGGUCAGUCCUAAUUGAUUUCCACACCGUAGGAUUUCCUCUCACCUGGCAAUCACAAACGCUGGUGUCUUAGGUCCCAGAGUUCAGUCUCCUGAUUCCUGUGCCGACACUGCUGUCCUGCUCCUCAGACAGUGUCCUCCUGGCGCUGCCAUCUUGUCCGAGUCUGUUCCUUUUUCUUAAUAUAUAUGUGUAAUACUAUAUAUUAGUAUAUUUAAUAUAUAUAUAUAUUAAAUACAACUAGUUAAGUCCAUAUGUUACUGCAUAUAUACAUUUCCAGGGUCGUCCAUUUGGUGUUGAGAUUCAAGUGGGUGUUCCUACUCCAGGGGAAGAUUGUUUCUUCUUAGUUUCCUGUAGUUCUUUGUGUAGGGACUGAGGCCUUAUGAACAUUCCCACUUCUAUGUUGUCUUGUUUAUUGGUUUUGUCCUUCUUCAGGCCACAUUAAAGCAGCCAGCCUGGUCAGGCUUCAUGCAUAACCUCACACAGCAAACUUUCUGUUCUGACCCUUACAAUCUUUUUGGCCCCACUCACACAAUGAACCCUGUGUCUUACAGGCUGGAACUGUAUUGCACACAAUGUUGGCUCGUUUCUUGUACUUUUUUUGAGAUUGUAAUAGAAUUACAUAAUUUCUCUCCUCCAUUUUCUCCCUCCAAACACUCCCAAAUACAUCACCUUUCUCUUUCUAACUCUAAUUACCAUUCCAUGCAUAUAUGUGUAUGAAUACAUAUCACUAAAUAUAAUCUGCUCAGGUGAUGGUGUUUUGUUAGAUGGUCUAUGGUGCUUUAGUAGAGCAUUGUCACCCCACAGGACACUUUCAUUUAAAAAACUACACAAACGCACAUACAGACUUAAGCAUAUUGUAAGGUAGAUAAUGUUAUUUUUAAUAUUUUAAAAAUUGGUUCUUUGUGAAUUUCACAUCAUGUACCCCAAUCCCACUUAUCUCUUCAUCUCUCUAUAUUCACCUUCUGCUAUUGCAACCUACCCCCCACACCCACACAUGCAAAAACAAACAAAACAAAACAUCUCACUCUAGAAGCUCGUUGAGUCACACAGUAUUCCCUUUUGUCCAAAAAGCUUUACUUGCAAAUGUUGAUUGCAACAAAUCAUUUGUCCGUUUUGAGGUUCCUGGCUUCUGCUACACUUCCAAUACUGGAUCUUCACCAGGAUUCCUCUCAGAUAUCCUGUUGUUGACCUGUGUCAUGGAGAUCCUGUAGCUUCAAGAUCUGCAGGACUGGCCCUUUCACACCCUCCUGAAGUUCAUAGAUGGGCUAACUCAAAGUCCUGCAUCUGGGCCUGUGGUAGUAGCUGAUAUUGUCUCCUGUACCCACCAGGGCCAACACUUCUGCACUUCCCCUGCAAGCCCCUCCCCCCAGCUCACCCAAGUACUGCAGCCAAUGAGGGGGCAUGGGUAGGUCUCCCACUCUCGGGGCCUCAGGACCAGUUCUCCCAUGCUACACAGAUGAUGGGCAAGGCCAGCUCUCCCUCACUUGAGUUGUAUAAUUCCUUAUAAGGUUUUCAAUGACCUUAUUAUUUUAAACUUCUCCUAUUUAUAUUACUCUUCCUCCCAAAUUAAAACUCCUAUUUUCCUACUACUCUCUUCAUAUCACUUGUGUCUUGCUUGUUCCCUCUUAAUUUUCUUGGUUUUAAUUUAAUUUAAAACAUUUUAAAUUCUUGGUUUCUGUAAUUAUUCCAGGUUAUGUAUUCACAUAGAAUGAUUUGGAGCUAGGAACCUCACAUAAGAACAUGCCAUCAUUUGACUUUCUGGCCAUCAUUUGACUUUCUGGAUCAGUGAACCACACUCAAUUUGAUCUUUUCAAGUUAAAUGUAUUUACAGACAAAUUUCAUAAUUUUUCUUUACAGGACCAUGCUAAUGCAUGGAAAAUGAGGCACUGUACCACUACACGUAAAUCAAGUAUUCCUGAUACCCUGACCCCAUCGAAUCAAAAAUGUUCACGCUCUAAAUCCCUCCUACUGCUCAAGGUUUAUAAAUUCCUGAUUUCAAAUAAACAUGCUGCUGACUGGCCUCAUGAUACAUCCAGCCUUCCACCAUGACCCCCUGAGAUUCAUCAUACUUCCCGUCACCUGCUCUCACCUGGCCUGCCCCUCUAGGCCAUUGGGACAGUGCCUCACCAGGCCUGUGUCUCUGCUAGAAACCAACCAGGCAUGGAUUUUUGCCCACACCUCUGCUGUGCUUAACUAAGAGCUUUUGUAUUGCCAAGGGCCUUGGAAUGCCCAAGCUUCCAUUGCCACUGGUGACCUCAUGCUGAAAGAGCUAAACUGUUAACACUCUGUGGGAAAAAUUUCCGUACCCUGACUUAGUGCGUGGGCCUCACCCUUAAGGACUCUAGAUGCCCCUGAGAGAAAUGGAACCCCUGUUCUCUGUCUGAAAGUAGAAGUCCAGACCUCCACUGAAAUCUAGUCCUCCACACAAUAUAGAACGACAGAUAUUUAGAUAAAAGUACUUGAUUGUCUGUGGACUUGAACUUGAGUGUUACCCAUCAUUGUUGAAGUUCCCAAGAAUGUGCUCUCAAAGCUUACCACCUCAGUUAGAAAUACCUGCACUGUCCUUUUCUCACAAUUAGAAGGAAAUCUUGAAUGUAAUGUAUUUCUUUUACUACUGUUUUUGUAUAUCCUUUGAAGAAGACUGAUUUUGAAUUUGAAUUAUCGUAGUAAGAAUUCCUCACAAUAGUAUGUGUUAGUUGUUAAAUAAGCCAAAUGUUAUAAAGUUACAUAUUAGCUCAUUUAAAUGAGUUCCAGAGUCACUGUGUUAUUUAGGAGAAAUGUCCCAAAUAGGAAUAAUUCUCUGAAGAGACUGAGAAAAAAAUAGCAAAAUAUUGUUAUAGAUAAGUAAACAUUAGUUAUAUCACAUGGUAUUGAGUUUUCACUCUAAAAAUUAAUAACCUUUAUAGCAUAGUCAAUUCAUUUAUAAUCAUACUCAUUUUUAUUUCAUUCUUUAAUACUAAACAUUAUUGUUAUGAAAAAUUUAGAUAAAAUUUGUUUUUUCAAGAUAGGAAUUGUCUGUGUAGCCUUGGCUAUCCUGGACUUGCUUUGUGGCCUUAAAUUCACAGCUAUCUGCCUGUCUCUACCUGAGUGCUGGGAUUAAAGGUAUGAGCCACCACACUCUGCUAAAAAAUAAUUUUUAUGAGAUAAUUUAUUUUUUUACAAGCUGUCACUCUAAAAUCUAGUUCAUAAUACGUGAAAGAGAGAAUUGGCCAUGUAAGAGCUCUUAAGUUUUCUUUGUCUUUUUUUUUUAUAACUUAUUAAUUUACUUAUUUACUUGCUCACUUUACAAGCCUGAUUCCAGCCCCCUCCUUCCACUCCUCCAGUCCCACCAUCACCCCUACCCCAAUACUCCCUUCUCCUUCUCCCAGUAUUGACCAAAUCCAGCACAGCAAGUCCCAUCAGGACAGAGAGCAUCCUCUUCCACUGAGGCCUCGCAAGGCAGCCCCACUAGAAGGGAGUGAUCCAAAAGCAGGCAACAGAAUCCAUAUCAGAGACAGCCCCCACACCACUUGCUAGGGGACCCACAAGAAGAAGCAGCCCAACAGUUACAUAUGUGUACUGGACCUAGAUCCAGACCAUGGUUGGUGCUUCAGUCUCUGUAAGCCCCCAUGGGCCUAGGUUAGUUGAUUUUGUUGGUCUUGUAGAGUCCUUGUCCUCACCUGGUCCUUCUAUCUUUCCCCCACAUUUCCACAGCUCUGCCUGAACUCUACCCCAUAUGGUUGCGAGUUGCAGCAUCUAUUGGAAUCCACUGCUGGGUGUAGCCUCUCAGAGGACAGCUAUGCUAGGCUCCUGUUUGCAAGCAUAGCAGAGUAUCAUUAAGAGUGUCAGGGGUUGGCUUUCUCCCAUGGGUUGGGUUUCAGGUUGGACCAGUCAUUAGGUGUACAUUCCCUCAAUCUCUGCUUCUUCUUUGUUCCCUGCACUUCUUGUAGUCAGGGUAAAUUUUGGGUCGAAGGAUUUGUGGGCGAGUUGGUGUUUCCCCUUCCUACACUAGAAUUCUUGCCUGGAUAGGUGACCAAUUCAGUCUCCAUGUCAGAGCAUGGACAAUCUUUAAGCCUUCCCAUCCUCAGGGUUCCCUGAGACCUGAGGGGACUGAAUUAAUAAAGACCUCCCUUUUAUGGCUGAGUGUACCAGGUGUCUUAUUCUUGGCACAUUGGCCAACAAUGGCUCUCUGUAUUUGUUCCGUUCUACUGGAGGAGGUAGUUUCUCUGGGCAAGGCACUGAUCUAUGAGUCUAGUGCAGAAUGUCAUUAGGAGUCAUUCUAUUGCUAUGUUACUUUAGGAGGACAGUAGUGGUGUGUAUUGCCCUAGGAUCCCUGGCCUAAUAUAGUGCCAGGUUCUUGGCAACCUGGGUAGUGUUGGGAAUGGUUUCCUGCUCAUGCAGUGGGCCUUAACUACAAUCAGGUAUUGGUUGGAAAUGCACUAAUCUUGCAGGCAAUCAUCAUUGUAGACCAAAGCUGGGUUGAUGUUCACCUAUCUCCUGUGGUAGUGAUCACAGUACUUUACAGUACUAUGAACAUUAGUCCAUCAAGGUGAAGGCUCUAUGUAGGAACCAGCUCAACUUCUCUGUGUUCAAUGUGUUGAGUAGGUGUUGUUUUCCAAAAGAGGGCCAUACUGUCAGAUAGUGGGAAAAAAAACUGAUAUUUUUGGCAAGAACAUGGUUUUCAUUAGACCUCUUUGGUCAAAAACUUCAUUAGACACAAUCUAUUUCUGGUAUUAGAAGGGUAUAUUGGUAUCAAGAGAUGUACAAUUGGGGCUGUUUCCAUGCCAGUUUUGAUUGCCUUUAUUCAUGUACAUAUGUUUGGAAGAUUCUACUUUAUUAGGUUUCCAAACAACCCCUCAAAUAUUACUUACUUCAUAUGUCCAUCUCCCUGAUAUCCUCCCAGUCACCCAUUUGUACACACAUAACUAUCUAUUCUAUAGCAACAUUCUAGGGACAUCAAUCCUGUCCCCUGUAGUCCCUUUCUCCAUAUGUAACCUCCGAAGACUUAUUGAAGAAUAAACAGCAAACAUCUGCAAAUGACCAAACACAAUCCCUAUUUGUCAUAAUGAGUUUGGAUCCUCUCACUCAUGAUAGUACCUAUAUCAAAUCACAUAUUAAACUCAUGAAUCAUUCUUUUUAAAUUUUAUUUAAACUAAGUACACUUUAUUCACUUUGUAUCCCAGCUAUAGCUGCCACCCCCAUUCCCUCCCAAUCCCACCUUCCUUCCCUCAUCUCCUCCCAUGCCCCUUUCCAAGUCCACUGAUAGGGAAGGUCAUCCUCCCCUUCUAUCUGACCCUAGCCUAUCAGGUCUCAUCAGGAGUGGCUGCAUUGUCUUCCUCUAUGACAUGGUAAGGCUGCUCCCCACUCAAGGGGAGGUGAUCAAAGAAGCAGCUACUGAGUUCCUGUCAGAGACAA